AAUGAACGUUGGCGGCGUGGAUAGGCAUGCAAGUCGAGCGAGAAUCCGCAAGGGGGACAGCGGCAAACGGGGUAGUAACGGGUAGGCAACGUACCCUCGGGUCGGGGAUAGCCACGGGAAACUGUGGGUAAUACCCGAUAAUCUCUGCGGUGGUAAGUACUGCAGAGCAAAGGUGUGAUUCCACCGGAGGAGCGGCCUGCUUCGUAUUAGCUAGUUGGUGAGGUAACGGCUCACCAAGGCGACGAUGCGUAGGGGGUGUGAGAGCAUGACCCCCACCACUGGGACUGAGAUACUGCCCAGACACCUACGGGUGGCUGCAGUCGAGAAUCUUCGGCAAUGGGCGCAAGCCUGACCGAGCGACGCCGCGUGUGGGAUGAAGGCCCUUGGGUUGUAAACCACUGUCAGAGGGGAUGAAAUGCGGGAGAGCUAUCUCUUCCGUUUGACAUAGCCUCAGAGGAAGCACGGGCUAAGUUCGUGCCAGCCGCCGCGGUAAGAC
rnacentral:rRNA from 1 species